rnacentral:rRNA from 1 species
CCUACGGGAGGCAGCAGUGGGGAAUAUUGGACAAUGGGGGGAACCCUCAUCCAGCGACGCCGCGUGAGUGAAGAAGUAUUUCGGUAUGUAAAGCUCUAUCAGCAGGGAAGAAAGAAAUGACGGUACCUGACUAAGAAGCCCCGGCUAACUACGUGCCAGCAGCCGCGGUAAUACGUAGGGGGCAAGCGUUAUCCGGAUUUACUGGGUGUAAAGGGAGCGUAGACGGCGAUGCAAGUCUGAAGUGAAAGGCGGGGGCCCAACCCCCGGACUGCUUUUGAAACUGUAUGGCUGGAGUGCAGGAGAGGUAAGUGGAAUUCCUAGUGUAGCGGUGAAAUGCGUAGAGAUUAGGAGGAACACCAGUGGCGAAGGCGGCUUACUGGACUGUAACUGACGUUGAGGCUCGAAAGCGUGGGGAGCAAACAGGAUUAGAUACCCUGGUAGUC